ensembl:lncRNA
GGAAAAACUGAGGCCCAGAGAGAGGUUACAUCCAGUUCAUCCCAGAGCUGGGGCUGGAAGCCAAGCCUGCUCACCUGGACUGGUUUUCUUCCUUGGCCCCCGGGGUCUCAAACAAAGGGAUUCAUAUGAACCUGGAAGUAAGGCACAGCCAAGCUGAAAUGUCUCCCAUAACAGGCUGGCUGCUUUGAUGUAAGGUAGUAAACACCUGGCCACAGAGGGAAGCCGAGGGACUCUCCUUCCAUGGAAGAUGAUCAGCAUCACAGGAAUGGAACACGCAGCAAGAGGUACUGAGUAUUUUCCUCCCAGCACUUUGAUUCUCCAAGGAGAAAUACAGUUCCCGUGGAACCCACCUGGGUAGGUGCUGUCCUUCAUUCUUUGAGAAAAAGGAGAAGUUGGAACAUGUUUCAAACGUGUCUUCAGAUUUCCUUCUGAAUUCUAUACCCUUGGCAUCUGAAUAGGCUCAAAUCAGCCCGACCAAGACUGCUGUGUCUCUCCAAGGUUUCUCUGUGACUCAAUUCCUAUGGCAGUCAAGGAAACAGGCUCAAUAGAUCAUCCCAAUGCACCAAUGAGGGGACCAGAACUCACAUCAGGUUUGUGAUGUCAUCUCUUCAAAACCAUGACUUAGGGCAAUUAAAGAAGAAGAAAACCUGUGUUCAAAAGCAACCUUGAACUUGGUCCAAGUUUCAUCAUUAAAAAAAAAAAAAAAAAGACAGUGUCUAUAUUCACAGCCCAGAAAUUGUAACAAGAAACUGACUGAAGAUUUAUAACAUACCUUCACUUAGAAAGGGGAUGGGAGGCAAG